AACGGCGGAUCUUGCUACUACUCUGUUCUCGGUAUUCGCAGGGACGCCUCGUUCUCUGAUAUUCGCACUGCUUAUCGCAAACUAGCCAUGAAAUGGCACCCAGACAAGUGGGCCUGGAAUUCAGGUGUGGCUGGGGAGGCGAAACGGCGGUUUCAGCAAAUACAAGAAGCUUACUCCGUUCUCUCUGACGAAGCUAAGAGAUCAAUGUACGAUGCUGGGCUUUAUGAUCCUCUGGAAGAAGAAGAUGAAGACUUCUGUGAUUUCAUGCAAGAAAUGAUAUCCAUGAUGAACAAUGUGAAAGACGAGGAAGAUAGCUUUGAAGAUCUCCAGAGGAUGUUCGUGGAAAUGGUGGGUGGAGAUAGCGUGGGCUUCGACCUCAAUGAGGAUCCAACGGAUAGGAAGAGGGCACGCGUCAAUGCAUCGAAAGGUAAUGCGGCGAAGCGCAACACCUCUCGCUGUUGAUGCACUAGUGAAUCUUUCGUUCGCCUUGCUGCGUGCCAUUGUAAGGUGUAAUUUGGGGGGAAUUGGGUGCUUUAUUGGCUAGUUUAGGUAGCGUGGGCUUAUUAACUUUGUCAUUCUGGCAGCACCUUAUGAAAAGCUUGGAAGCUAUUGAUAGGAG
rnacentral:misc_RNA from 1 species